ensembl:lncRNA
AGAGAGAAUGUGGAGUCUCCUUCCCCGGAGUUAUUCAAAAGCCACCUGGACACCAUCCCAGGCAACCCGCUGUAGGGACCCUGCAGGGAGGUUGGACUUCAGAGGUCCCUUCCAACCUCAACCAUUGCAUAACUCUGUGAAUGCUUCCUAUUGAAGGAAAUCCAUGAGACCUGAAUAAUUAAUAAUGUUACCAGUUAAAAAUUGACUAAAAUUAUCAAAACGAUGCUGAAAAAGAUGUUAAUUGCUUGGCCCACAUUCUUCCCUCAGUGGGAAAUUAUAUUGACAAAUAUCAUACACCAAGAGAAAUCUUGUGGUCAUGAAAUAACACUUGUUACAAAUCAAUCAAUAGUAAUCAUGAAGUUUUGUUGCUUUUUUAAAACUGCUUCAGGAUUCAAUCUAUAUUAAGAUAAUAUAAUUUUAGUAAGGUGGGUUUUUCCUUUUUUUUUUUUUUUUUUCCCUGCUUCAUCUAAAGGUGAUUCAUGUUUUUGGGGGGACAAAAUAAAAUAAAUACGAUGAAAACUUUUAAAUGAUUUUAACAAAACAAGUCAUUAUCGAGCAUGGGCAAAAUCAUUCAGUUAAAUUGCACUCGUGGUUGAAAUUAAUUUUCUGAAGCAAGUUCUGAAAGGGGUAGUAGCCAACAAUCAAUAAUCUCUUAAUGAGGUGCAAGAAAAACAUGUGUAGACAUGACAGGUUUUGAUGGCUAAUGAGCUUCAGAGGAUGAACACUGUUCAGAGGAAAACUCUGAAAGGCACAGAAAAUUGAUUAAUUGCCAGCCUACGAUAUUGCAGGAAAACAUUUGGAAAUUCAACAGCCCUCAGACCUCAUGUCAUUUACACCUUCAAUGUGACGUGUUAAUUUUAAGGAAACAUUAUAGCUGAAGGGCGUUGUUUUUCCUCCCUUUCUCUCCCUAGUAGCUAACUCACGAUCAAUCUGCUUGCUGUGAUUUUUUUCCUCAGAAACGAAGUUACCUGAUAAAACUUCCCCAUAAUGUUUACUGGAAUGAAUAACAAAAUGCAAAAGACAGACCACAGGGGGUCCUGAUUCUCUUUUGUGUUAAUAGCUGCUCUGCUGCAUGUAAGACAUAACUAGGCUAACAGACAUUUUGGUCUUCUGUCACUUAUAUUCACAAGUGUCAGCAAUACAACAUAAAAGAGUUUUCAUUUACCAAGAAAAUGAUCAAAAGAUCAUGACCUAUUUUCCUGCAGUUAAACACCUUCUUUUAAGAUGCAGAACUAACCUCUGUUCUACUUCCUACCAGUAGCUCACCUAAGUGGGAACACGUGAUCUGAGCCUGGGAAACUUGAGCUUGGGUUUUAUUGGUAGGACUGUUCUCCAGUCCCUGAGCCUCACAGGAAGGCCUGGAGCAAAGAUUUAACCCCUGUUGAAGAGGAUCAAUUUAGGGAAUGCUGGGAAUGGUGGCUGAUGUCUCUACGAGGCCACUCUUGAUAAUAGCAAGGAGAUAGAAGUUUCCUGUGGACUGGAUGAAAGCAAGCAUCACUCUCAUCUUCAAGAAGGACAAGGAGAAUAAUCCAGAGAACUACAGGUGCAUCAGCCUAGCCUUGAUCUCGAGGAAGCUGCUGAAGCAAAUCCUCCUGCAAACCACUUAUGAAGGACAAAAAACUGACUGAGUAAUCAGGGUGGAUUUCAGAAGGGCAAAUCUGACCAGUCUGGUAGCCCUUUGCAAAAAGAUGGCUGACUUGGCAGAUUCUCCUGUGUCUAACAAGGUGCUGGACCUUCCCCCUCAAGGCUUUCCUGGAGCUGGAGUGCUAUUCUCGUCUCUCCCCAUGUGGGUUCCUUCACAUCUAACAAGGGAUGGACUACUCACCCUUGGGAAAUCCAUCAGGAUGUAAACUAUCACCUCUCUGUCAAACCCGGCUGGAACAGACCAGCAGAUUUAGAAGUCAUGAGGACAGUGAACAGGCAAAUGCAUGUGUAUAUACACACACACAAACGUACACCCAUGUGCUCAUAAGCCUGGUUUCCUAAGGAAACCAGACUAAAAAUAACUGUGUUUGGGUUAUGAAAAGCUAUGGUUGCAAUAUGAGUCGCGUUUCCGCUCGCUGUCAGCAUGCAUUAGAGAUCUUUCUAUUUACACAUUUCCAUGGCCUGUCUCAAAAGACGAUCUGUUAUUUCUCCUAUGAUCUUCUCCUAGCAUCUUGAUAUUUUUUACCACUGUAUAUUCAUACUGCUUUCCUUGUCAGAACACCCCCAAGAAGACUGCCAGUAUAGGCGCAGAUAUUCUAUGUGAAACUUCUUUGCAAUAAGUAUUUUUAUAAGUCAUCAAUUUUAAUAGUUGCUAGAACAGUACAUCUUGUUUUCAACCUGCAGCGUAGCCUGCUUUAUAUACAACUCAGGCAGAAAGCUAUAAAAGGUAAUUUAGCUGUUAACUGCCAAUCUAUAUACGCCAGCAAAAAUGCAAUGUCACUCAAAACCACUAUAUUUAGUCAGAACGUGGCAUAAGGAGUUAACAGAGGUCUUUUUUCCCCUUCACAGAAACUAUUUCUGUAGUUUCAGUCUGGUGCAUGCAAGGCAACACAAGCUAAAGGUUUCUGCACAAGUAUACCUCUUGUUUUUCUAAAAAAAUACACUGUAGUAUUUGAGAUCUGCUGUAAUGCUCUUGCAAACUUUUAAGUGUGGCAUUCAAGGCACUUGGGUUUUUUUUCCUCCACUGACUGCUUCCAACUGACCACCAUACCCUCCUCUCCAGCACAGUCUUAUUUAUGUUUCUUUGAAAGCAUGAGCCUCACAAAAUUGCUCUUUUUUUUUUUGGUCAUCUUUCCUUACAAUAAACGUGUUUCAUCU